GACGAACGCUGGCGGCGUGCUUAACACAUGCAAGUCGAACGGAAAGGCCCUGCUUUUGUGGGGUGCUCGAGUGGCGAACGGGUGAGUAACACGUGAGUAACCUGCCCUUGACUUUGGGAUAACUUCAGGAAACUGGGGCUAAUACCGGAUAGGAGCUCCUGCUGCAUGGUGGGGGUUGGAAAGUUUCGGCGGUUGGGGAUGGACUCGCGGCUUAUCAGCUUGUUGGUGGGGUAGUGGCUUACCAAGGCUUUGACGGGUAGCCGGCCUGAGAGGGUGACCGGCCACAUUGGGACUGAGAUACGGCCCAGACUCCUACGGGAGGCAGAAGUGGGGAAUAUUGCACAAUGGGCGGAAGCCUGAUGCAGCAACGCCGCGUGCGGGAUGACGGCCUUCGAGUUGUAAACAGAUUUCGCCUGUGACGAAGCGUGAGUGACGGUAAUGGGUAAAGAAGCACCGGCUAACUACGUG
rnacentral:rRNA from 1 species